UACAGAGGGUGCGAGCGUUGUUCGGAAUUAUUGGGCGUAAAGGGCGCGUGGGCGGUGCGGUAAGUCACCUGUGAAAUCUCCUGGCUCAACUGGGAGCUUGCAGGCGAAACUGCCGUGCUGGAGUGUGGGAGAGGUGCGUGGAAUUCCUGGUGUAGCGGUGAAAUGCGUAGAUAUCAGGAGGAACACCUGUGGCGAAAGCGGCGCACUGGACCACAACUGACGCUGAGGCGCGAAAGCUAGGGGAGCAAACAGG
rnacentral:rRNA from 1 species